rnacentral:tRNA from 1 species
CAAAAAGUAGCUUACAACAAAGCGCUCGACCUACACUCGAAUAACAUUGCACACAAUCUUUUUGA